rnacentral:rRNA from 1 species
GAUGUACGCUGGCGGCGUGCCUAAUACAUGCAAGUCGAGCGAACGGACGAGAAGCUUGCUUCUCUGAUGUUAGCGGCGGACGGGUGAGUAACACGUGGAUAACCUACCUAUAAGACUGGGAUAACUUCGGGAAACCGGAGCUAAUACCGGAUGAUAUUUUGAACCGCAUGGUUCAAAAGUGAAAGACGGUCUUGCUGUCACUUAUAGAUGGAUCCGCGCCGCAUUAGCUAGUUGGUAAGGUAACGGCUUACCAAGGCAACGAUGCAUAGCCGACCUGAGAGGGUGAUCGGCCACACUGGAACUGAGACACGGUCCAGACUCCUACGGGAGGCAGCAGUAGGGAAUCUUCCGCAAUGGGCGAAAGCCUGACGGAGCAACGCCGCGUGAGUGAUGAAGGUCUUCGGAUCGUAAAACUCUGUUAUUAGGGAAGAACAUAUGUGUAAGUAACUGUGCACAUCUUGACGGUACCUAAUCAGAAAGCCACGGCUAACUACGUG